CAACAUACGCGCGCGCUCGUGUAUUCCGCCAGCCCGACCCACCUUGUUAAGCGCUCAUUAGCUGGACCACCUGCAGCGUUGCACAGCCCUUCUUGCUUCGAAUGUCUCAGAGGACAAAAGCCAAGGAGCAAUCCUGGAACUGCUGGCCAGUGAGUACGAUGAAUGGGGUGACGUCUACCCCUGCCUGUCCCAACUUGCUGCUGCAGCCCUCAUCAUCCCAGUGGCAAGUGUAAAUUGUGAGAGAGAUUUCUCAGCAAUGAACAGAAUCAAAACUGAACUGAGGAACAGGCUGCAAGGGGAGCAUCUUGCUGCAUGCAUGCACAUCAGCAUAAAUGGACCUGACCCCCAAUUAUUUCCAUACAGAAAGGCAUUGGAGAUCUUUUUUUCAAAACAGAGAAAAAUACACUGCUCUGACAAAAACUGUCAGCUUUGCAAGUAGCCUGAAAUAGCUUUCCCCCCCCCCCUUUUUUUUUUUUUUUUUCUUUUGGGUUCUGUUUGUGUUAAAGCAAGUCUGCAGCAGGCUUAAGUUGUAUCUAUGUGCAAUAAAUAACACAUGGUUCAUAAACCA